rnacentral:rRNA from 1 species
AUUGAACGCUGGCGGCAGGCCUAACACAUGCAAGUCGAACGAGUGGCGGACGGGUGAGUAAUGUCUGGGAAACUGCCCGCUGGAGGGGGAUAACUACUGGAAACGGUAGCUAAUACCGCAUACCAUCGGAUGUGCCCAGAUGGGAUUAGCUAGUAGGUGGGGUAAUGGCUCACCUAGGCGACGAUCCCUAGCUGGUCUGAGAGGAUGACCAGCCACACUGGAACUGAGACACGGGCCAGAGUCCUACGGGAGGCAGCAGAAGGGAAUAUGGCACAAGGGGCGCAAGCCUGAUGAAGCCAAGCCGCGUGUAUGAAGAAGGCCGUCGGGUUGUAAAGUACUUGCAGCGAGGAGGCGUUACUCGCAGAAGAAGCACCGGCUAACUCCGUGCCAGCAGCCGCGGUAAUAC